GAUGGGAACACCCCGGGCUGCGCGGCCGCCUCCAGGGCCUUGCUCGCCCCGCCGCGGGAGGGGCGCGGCAGCUAUGAAAAGGCCGUGAGAGGCCCUGCGGAGGCACAUCCAGCACAGCACCCCCGAGGCUCUGCUGCUCUGCACCUGGCAAGACCUGGCUUGGCUGUGUCACUGCGGUCACAAUCAAGUCACAAAGGUGAAGUGCUGGGUGCUCCGGUGACUUCAUGAACUGGUGUUUAACCAGCAGGUAACACAGGUGCCGUGCCACCAGAGCUGCGAGGUCCUCAAACACCGAAGUUUUCACUAGGUUUAGUGAAAGGAGGAAGAACUGGUGAAUCCCUGGCUGGCCCCAAAGCGGGUGACUUGGAAAGAGCUGAGGGAGAAGGUUGAGAGCCACGGUUAUCCCUCCUCAUUUGGGGACACAGCAAUGACACCAGGUUCGAUCUUCCAAGGAACAUGGCAAAACUGGAGAGAGGGGAUGGGACCCCCCAGCUCCUGAUUUCUCUGUGUCAGGAUCAGAGAGGACCAUCCUGCUGCUGGCUCUGUGCCUGUUGUCCCCAUAGUCCCUGAGGCUCCAUGGCCAGUGCUGGACCCCACUGGCCAAGGUGCUUCCUCAGGUUGAUGUUCCCAGCCAAGGCAAGCAUUUUCCAGCAUGGAAAUGGUUGAACAUCGUGUGGCAGAGGUGCCCUCCUUCCAGCUGGAGCUGCCUUGUCCUCUCUGCACCACCAGCUCCAGUGCUCCAGAGCGGCUUCCCCCAGGAGGUUCCACGUGUCCUCACCAACUCCACCAACGUCCCCACAGGACACCAAGCUGCCCUGGGGCUGCUGUCCCCUCUCCAUGCACACAUCUGGCUGCCACCCUGACCCACACCACUGCCUGAGUCCCUUCUCUCCCAGGCUGUCCUCCAGGCCUCAGCAGUGCCGGUGACCACUGGGGGAUUGUGUGACCAGAGCCACUGACCCGCUGUAAGUGGCAGAGCACCGGUGGCAGAGCCUGCUUGGCCCCCAUCCUGUGCCAGUGGCAGGCCCUGCUCAGACCCCAUCCCACAGCAGAGUUUGGAGGGUGCAGGAAGCAGAGCUGGGGCCGCUGUGGCACUGGAAGCCAGGCUGCAGAGAAACCGCAAUGCUCCGAGCACUCGGCUUUGUUCUCCUUUUAUUUUUUAAACCAUCAUUCCCAUUCCAGCGUGGCUCCAUUUGCCUGCUCCCAUCCUCCAGCAUGCUGUAGCUUUAGGGCUCUUUUCAUUAAAAACCAAAAAAGUAAUUGCAGUUUUGGGGUUUUUUGUAUGUAUGUAUAUCUUGAAGUUAAAUCAGAGCUUUGGCUGGGAAAUACCACUGGGGACUAUCUCAGUCUGAUGCUCACCAGGGCAGUGAUCUCUGGA